rnacentral:rRNA from 1 species
GCCCUGGUAAUGUGGGGGAAUAACGGUUCGGAAACCGGACGGCUUAUAACCGCAUACGUUCUUACGGGAGGAAAGCAGGGGACCCUUUCGGGCCCUGCGGCUAUUCAGAAUGGAGCCUAAGUCGGGAUUUAGCUUAGUUGGUGGAAGGUAAUUGCCUCCACCCAAGGCGGACGAUCCCGUAACUGGUCCUGAGAGGAUGAUCAGUCCCACCUGAACUGAGACACCGGUCCAGACUCUUACGGGAGGCAGCAGUGGGGAAUAUUGGACAAUGGGGCGAAAGCCUGAUCCAGCCCAUGCCGCGUGUGUGAAGAAGGUCUUCGGAUUGUAAAGCCCUUUAAGUUGGGAGGAAGGGCAUUAACCUAAUACGUUAGUGUUUUGACGUUACCGACAGAAUAAGCACCGGCUAACUCUGUGCCAGCAGCCGCGGUAAUACAGAGGGUGCAAGCGUUAAUCGGAAUUACUGGGCGUAAAGCGCGCGUAGGUGGUUUGUUAAGUUGGAUGUGAAAUCCCCGGGCUCAACCUGGGAACUGCAUUCAAAACUGACUGACUAGAGUGUGGUAGAGGGUGGUGGAAUUUCCUGUGUAGCGGUGAAAUGCGUAGAUAUAGGAAGGAACACCAGUGGCGAAGGCGACCACCUGGACCAACACUGACACUGAGGUGCGAAAGCGUGGGGAGCAAACCGGAUUAGAUACCCUGGUAGUCCACGCCGUAAACGAUGUCAACUAGCCGUUGGAAGCCUUGAGCUUUUAGUGGCGCAGCUAACG